ACGGCAGCACGGGAGCAAUCCUGGUGGCGAGUGGCGAACGGGUGAGUAAUAUAUCGGAACGUGCCCAGUAAUGGGGGAUAGCCCGGCGGAAGCCGGAUUAAUACCGCAUACGACCUACGGGUGAAAGCGGGGGAUCGCAAGACCUCGCGUUAUUGGAGCGGCCGAUAUCAGAUUAGCUAGUUGGUGGGGUAAAAGCUUACCAAGGCGACGAUCUGUAGCUGGUCUGAGAGGACGACCAGCCACACUGGGACUGAGACACGGCCCAGACUCCUACGGGAGGCAGCAGUGGGGAAUUUUGGACAAUGGGCGCAAGCCUGAUCCAGCCAUGCCGCGUGUGGGAAGAAGGCCUUCGGGUUGUAAACCACUUUUGUCAGGGAAGAAACGGUCUGAACUAAUAAUUUGGGCUAAUGACGGUACCUGAAGAAUAAGCACCGGCUAACUACGUGCCAGCAGCCGCGGUAAUACGUAGGGUGCAAGCGUUAAUCGGAAUUACUGGGCGUAAAGCGUGCGCAGGCGGCUUUGCAAGACAGAUGUGAAAUCCCCGGGCUCAACCUGGGAACUGCAUUUGUGGCUGCAUGGCUAGAGUACGGUAGAGGGGGAUGGAAUUCCGCGUGUAGCAGUGAAAUGCGUAGAUAUGCGGAGGAACACCGAUGGCGAAGGCAAUCCCCUG
rnacentral:rRNA from 1 species